UGCUAAACUUUUCAAACACUGUCAAUAGCAA
rnacentral:piRNA from 1 species